rnacentral:lncRNA from 1 species
AAUGGCAUUAUUCAGCACUUAUUCUGAAAUUUGCUUUUUUCACUGGAUGUUAUGUCGUGAGAUCUAUUCAUGUGGACAGAGGAUUAGUGUACUCCUUUUAACUGCAGGUUUUUUCCUUUGUGAGACUAGAGAGAAUGAGGGGGUGCCAUCCCGGAGUGCUCGGGUCCCCAGGAGAGACUGGCUUUCCUGAUUCUGAAACAGAGCGAGUAGGGAAGCAUUUGGGGCUGACCACAGGCGGGAAACACAUCUACAAGGUAUCCAUCAGAGCUGACAGAAGAAUGGAACAAUGAAAGACCCUGGAGUCCAUCAUAUCCGAGGAAACCCCCUCCUUACUGCCCGUUUUCCCUUCAUAACUGCCUCAAGAUUCUGUAAUCCUUGAAGCAUGGCGUGCCAAGCGGUGCCAUGUCCGCACCCGGGAUCCGAACUGGCAAACCCUGGUCCACCAAGAAGUGGAACGUGCAAACUUCACUGCUGCGCCACCGGGCCGGCCC